UACGUAGGGGGCAAGCGUUGUCCGGAUUCAUUGGGCGUAAAGAGCGUGUAGGCGGCCAGGUAGGUCGGUUGUGAAAACUGGAGGCUCAACCUUCAGAGGUCGACCGAAACCAUCUGGCUAGAGUCCGGGAGAGGAGAGUGGAAUUCCCCAAGUAGAGGUGAAAUUCGUAGAUAUGGGGAGGGACACCGGUGGCGAAGGCGGCCAUCUGGACGGAUACUGACGCUGAGACGCGAAAGCGUGGGGAGCAAACAGG
rnacentral:rRNA from 1 species